rnacentral:tRNA from 1 species
AAGGGAGACCUAAUUCCGGUAGGAGACGAAAAAAAAGUAGUCCCAACCAAGAAUCAAUCCCAAAAGGUCGGAGCGAGGCGAAAUUGGCUUUCAAACUAGGUUCUGGGUUCACACAAGACCUGAAUCAGGAACAAGGGCUAUUAGCUCAGGUGGUUAGAGCGCACCCCUGAUAAGGGUGAGGUCCCUGGUUCGAGUCCAGGAUGGCCCACCUGUACAGGUGGAAGAAAGAAAAGAAGCUCCGAAUCAGCACCUUAUCUUACUUAUAUAGUAAGAGAGAAUGCUGGCUCUGAGUUCAGAGCCCAGAGGAACCUUGAAAACUGCAUAGAGCUAGGUGAAAAAGCCAAAAAAGAAGACCGCCA